rnacentral:lncRNA from 1 species
UCGCAAAUCGAUCGGCGAACUCUGCCUCUUCCAAGCAUGAAGUGUCUCUUGCACGCACAGUUGAACCUGCAGAGCUACAUCUUGUGUUGACUCGUCGAAUCUGUAUUCUCCACGAAUCGCCAAGUUUUUUCGUCUACAACCAUUUCGUUGUUACAGCUUUAUGGUGGCAAUGUCUGAAGUUUCUGGUGAUAAUGGGUGAAGAAGGUACUGCUAUUGUGGGCAUCCGGUGCGUUUGAGAACUUCUUGGACGGAGAGGAACCCCGGUCGAACGUUUCUAGGUUGUCGAUCAAAUGGUACACGAUAUGCUUGCAAUUUUUUCGUUGACAAUGCUCCAGAUGAUAGGUAUAAGAUAGUCAUAAAUGGGUUGAUUCGUUCAAAGAACAAGCUGGAAGAAAAAAACCAAAAAUUCUGCAAAUUGAUGAAAGUGUACAAAAUUGCACUUUCUACCAUUUUCCUCUUGGUCAUAAUCUGGCCAGUUGGUUGAAGUAUUGCAUCCUACGUAUUAACUUGGGUCAUUGUAAUGUUAGUUGAAUCUUACGCAUUACAGUUGCUUGUAAUUGUAGCUUUCAAUUUGUGUAGUAGUGUGUCUCUGCAAGUGUUGUAAACGGAUAUUGAGUUAUGUUGUAAUCAACACGUAUUCUUGGAA